GGAGGCGGCCGGACGGCCGCGGGCGCGAUCGUCGAAAGGCGGCGCUCGAGGAAAGUCCGGGCUCCACAGAGCAGGCUCGCGGGUAACGCCCGUCCGCCGUGAGGCGAGGACCAGCGCCACAGUGACGAUGCCCGCGCAAGCGGGAGUGAAACGCGGCAAGCUCGAGCCGGAGCAAGACCGAAUAGGAGGGCGACCGCGGCCUUCGGGCCGCAGCAGGUAGCUCGCUCAGCCCUCGGGUAGGUCGCUCAGAUGGAUGGCCGUCGCGGCACCAUGGCGUGCCGGCACAGAACCCGGCUUACAGGCCGCUCUCCAGGG
rnacentral:RNase_P_RNA from 1 species